AGGACAAGUGGGAUGCCAAGUUGGUCAAGAUGGGGUUUUGGUCCGAUUCCGCUUAGUAGGAGGAUUUGAGGGCUGCUUAAUGCCCCUGCUGAUAAUAUCACGUCGCCCAUGGGACAAGCGAGGUAAGCUUCAUAGGUGUCUGAUCUCCGUUGCUGUUGCUGUUGCUGCGUAUGAAUUGGAUGCCACGAGCAAUGGUCUUGUCUAUUCUUCUGCAUCAUCCAACCAAACAAAACCAGCUUGAACUAAAAGAAAUGAACUCAUGCUUAUGGCUACGAAAAUCUCAACCAACUGAUGAGUCUGCCAAACCCUAUUCAUAACUCGGAUUGACAAAAAGAAACCGGAUUGCAUUGACCACAAACUCUCUAGUACUUACCACUCUUGUGGAAUAUGACACUCUUGACAGUACAUCUCUUUCCCCAAUUAUCAAACGUAGACCCACUGAUCUUGGUUCCUUGGGUAUGUUCCCAGGUGAAUCCGUUGUUUGGAAGAAUCCCGGCUUCAAGAAAUCCAGAUCGUACAACAGCUUGCCACACUGUCAAGACAGACUUGGUAACAAUCUUAGAUUCCACCCAUUCAUAAGAUUCCUUCACCAGCUCUUCAUCCAAACCAGCUUUCCUGAUGAAAUCACGGCUUGCUCUGCUGUAGAACCCAGCAUUGAUGGCCGUUGAUCCACCCAGUACUUUCCCUCUGUGGUUUACCACUCCUUCGUUGGAAGUGAAUGACUGGGCAAUGGAUGAGAAUUCGUCCGUUUGGAUCAUUGGCAAGUCAUGGAAGCGCUUCUCUGUUAUCCAUGGGUUUCCAUAUGGUGAGCCACCAUGUUCGAUCAGUAGAACAGAGAAUUUCUCAGAGAGGGUGGCCGCAAGAGGGCAACCGGCUGUUCCUCCGCCUACCACUAUGUAGUCAAAGGACUUCCCUGCUACCUCAUUGACAUUUGAAGUCAUGUAAGGAAGUUUUGUUCCUGCGAAAAAAAUACAAGUAAUCAUCAAAUUCAUCACUUCUCCGAGUCCCGGCUACGUUAUGUGUCAAGUUACCUCGAGGCUGGGCGGAAGAAUGACACGCGUGAAGAAACAGCAGCAGUAGCAGAGUAAAUGCUGCAGAAAGCCUGUCACCAUAAGGACUGCUGUGCAUCAUGUCUUAUGUCUGAGGAACUAAUUCAAAAGCUUUACUAGUUGCUUGCUUGCUUUCUUUCUCUUCUUCUUCAUCUUCUUCUUCUUUAUAAGCUAACAUGUACACCAACAUCAUCUAAACAAAAGAAUAAAAGAUUGGAGACAUGAUCCACGAGCCUCUUCUUUUCUUUUGUAUACAUAUAUAUAGGAUAAACAAAGGAUUAAAAUAACUCAUGG
rnacentral:lncRNA from 1 species